rnacentral:lncRNA from 1 species
CAUUCCUCUAUGAUUCCAGGCUGGCAGUGGACGGGCCCUUUGGAACUGCCCUGACAGAUCAAGGUACGGAAAAAUCAUUAGUUCACCCUUCCAUGGAUUAAAAGGUUCAAUGUCCUUAUAUCUAUCAUCUGCCGAUUCUUGGGGAGGAUUUUAAUUAACUAUGAGGGAUAAACUCAAGGAUCCUUAACUAUACUUAUGUUCUUAAAAAUCUCCACUCAGUAUUACAUUUAUGAGUAGGGUUAUGUCUAAUCUUGUUAAAGAUGACAAGACAUAAAUUUUAUUGCUUCAUUGCCAUUACAGGACAUGUAAUUGCUCAUCUCAGUAAAAUAUGGACAGGCUGCAAAUGGCUAUGUGACUGGGUGGCAGUUCGCAAUAUUAAGAGGCAACCUCUCCUUAGUCUCUUUAGCUUCAGACUGUGGUUGCAAGUGUACAAUUCGAUGUCCUCCUCUCGUGGACUCAGUCCUAACAAGAAGCCACAAUUGGGAUUUAUUGGCCGGCUUGCUGUGGGGUGGCCAUCCCGCUCUGAAUCUCCCUUUUGUCAUUUCCUGUAUGUU